GAUGAACGCUGGCUUUCGUGCCUAAUACAUGCAAGUCGAGCGAACGGACGAGAAGCUUGCUUCUCUGAUGUUAGCGGCGGACGGGUGAGUAACACGUGGAUAACCUACCUAUAAGACUGGGAUAACUUCGGGAAACCGGAGCUAAUACCGGAUAAUAUUUUGAACCGCAUGGUUCAAAAGUGAAAGACGGUCUUGCUGUCACUUAUAGAUGGAUCCGCGCUGCAUUAGCUAGUUGGUAAGGUAACGGCUUACCAAGGCAACGAUGCAUAGCCGACCUGAGAGGGUGAUCGGCCGCACUGGAACUGAGACACGGUCCAGACUCCUACGGGAGGCAGCAGUAGGGAAUCUUCCUCAAUGGGCGAAAGCCUGACGGAGCAACGCCGCGUGAGUGAUGAAGGUCUUCUGAUCGUAAAAUUCUGUUAUUAUGGAAGAACAUAUGUGUAAGUAACUGUGGCCCUCUUGACGGUGCCUACUUAGAAACCACCGUUAAUUACGUGCCACCUACCGCGGUAAUACUUAGGUGGCAAGCGUUUUCCGGAAUUAUUGUGCCGUAAGCGCGCGUAGGCGGUUUUUUAGUCUGAUGUGAAAGCCCACGGCUCAACCGUGGAGGGUCAUUGGAAACUGGAAAACUUGAGUGCAGAAGAGGAAAGUGGAAUUCCAUGUGUAGCGGUGAAAUGCGCAGAGAUAUGGAGGAACACCAGUGGCGAAGGCGACUUUCUGGUCUGUAACUGACGCUGAUGUGCGAAAGCGUGGGGAUCAAACAGGAUUAGAUACCCUGGUAGUCCACGCCGUAAACGAUGAGUGCUAAGUGUUAGGGGGUUUCCGCCCCUUAGUGCUGCAGCUAACGCAUUAAGCACUCCGCCUGGGGAGUACGACCGCAAGGUUGAAACUCAAAGGAAUUGACGGGGACCCGCACAAGCGGUGGAGCAUGUGGUUUAAUUCGGAGCAACGCGAAGAACCUUACCAAAUCUUGACAUCCUUUGACAACUCUAGAGAUAGAGCCUUCCCCUUCGGGGGACAAAGUGACAGGUGGUGCAUGGUUGUCGUCAGCUCGUGUCGUGAGAUGUUGGGUUAAGUCCCGCAACGAGCGCAACCCUUAAGCUUAGUUGCCAUCAUUAAGUUGGGCACUCUAAGUUGACUGCCGGUGACAAACCGGAGGAAGGUGGGGAUGACGUCAAAUCAUCAUGCCCCUUAUGAUUUGGGCUACACACGUGCUACAAUGGACAAUACAAAGGGCAGCGAAACCGCGAGGUCAAGCAAAUCCCAUAAAGUUGUUCUCAGUUCGGAUUGUAGUCUGCAACUCGACUACAUGAAGCUGGAAUCGCUAGUAAUCGUAGAUCAGCAUGCUACGGUGAAUACGUUCCCGGGUCU
rnacentral:rRNA from 1 species